GAUGAAGAACGUAGCGAAAUGCGAUACGUAAUGUGAAUUGCAGACACCGUGAAUCAUCGAAUCUUUGAACGCACAUUGCGCCCCUUGGUAUUCCGAGGGGCAUGCCUGUUCGAGCGUCAUUAUAACCCCUCAAGCUCAGCUUGGUGUUGGGGCCUGCUGCACUGGCAGCCCUUAAAAUCAGUGGCGGCGCCAUCUGGCUCUAAGCGUAGUAAUUCUUCUCGCUAUGGAGUCCUGGUGGAUGCUUGCCAUCAACCCCCAAUUUUUCUAUGGUUGACCUCGGAUCAGGUAGGGAUACCCGCUGAACUUAAGCAUAUCAAUAAGCGGAGGA
rnacentral:misc_RNA from 1 species